rnacentral:rRNA from 1 species
UACGGAGGGUGCAAGCGUUAUCCGGAUUUACUGGGUUUAAAGGGUGCGUAGGUGGGUAGGAAAGUCAGUGGUGAAAUCUUCGGGCUUAACCCGGAAACUGCCAUUGAUACUAUUUAUCUUGAAUACUUUGGAGGUAAGCGGAAUAUGUCAUGUAGCGGUGAAAUGCUUAGAUAUGACAUAGAACACCAAUUGCGAAGACAGCUUACUACACAGUUAUUGACACUGAGGCACGAAAGCGUGGGGAUCAAACAGG